rnacentral:tRNA from 1 species
GGGGAAUUAAUUCAGGGUGUAGAGUGCUCGCUUUACAUGCGAGAGGCAGCGAGAUCGAUUCUCGGUCUCUCCA